rnacentral:rRNA from 1 species
UACGUAGGGUGCAAGCGUUUAAUCGGAAUUACUGGGCGUAAAGCGUGCGCAGGCGGUUUUGUAAGUUUGUCGUGAAAGCCCCGGGCUCAACCUGGGAAUUGCGAUGAAGACUGCAAGGCUUGAAUCUGGCAGAGGGGGGUAGAAUUCCACGUGUAGCAGUGAAAUGCGUAGAGAUGUGGAGGAACACCGAUGGCGAAGGCAGCCCCCUGGGUCAAAACUGACGCUCAUGCACGAAAGCGUGGGGAGCAAACAGG